GAUGAACGCUGGCGGCGUGCCUAAUACAUGCAAGUCGAGCGAACAGACGAGGAGCUUGCUCCUCUGACGUUAGCGGCGGACGGGUGAGUAACACGUGGAUAACCUACCUAUAAGACUGGGAUAACUUCGGGAAACCGGAGCUAAUACCGGAUAAUAUAUUGAACCGCAUGGUUCAAUAGUGAAAGACGGUUUUGCUGUCACUUAUAGAUGGAUCCGCGCCGCAUUAGCUAGUUGGUAAGGUAACGGCUUACCAAGGCAACGAUGCGUAGCCGACCUGAGAGGGGGAUCCGCCCCAGUGGAACUUGAACACGGCGCCGACACCCAAGGGAGGGAACAGUAGGGAAACUUUCCGCAGGGGGGAAAGCCUGAAGGGGCCAAGCCGCGGGGGGGGAAGAAGUCUUAGGAAUGUAAAAAUCUUUUAUUUGGGAAAAAAAAAAGGUGAAAGUAAUUUGGCCCGCUUGACGGGACCCAAUCCAAAAAGCCCGGCUAACUUAGGU
rnacentral:rRNA from 1 species